AGGGCUAUAGCUCAGUUAGGUAGAGCACCUCGUUGUCUACGGUUCGAGUCCGUAUAGCCCUA
rnacentral:tRNA from 1 species